rnacentral:rRNA from 1 species
AUUGAACGCUAGCGGGAUGCCUUACACAUGCAAGUCGAACGAGUGGCGGACGGGUGAGUAAUAUCUCGGAAAGUGCCUGGUAGCGGGGGAUAACUACUGGAAAGGGUGGCUAAUACCGCAUCCCAUCGGAUGUGCCCAUAUGGGAUUAGCUAGUUGGUGGGGUAACGGCUCACCUAGGCAACGAUCCCUAGCUGGUUUGAGAGGAUGAUCAGCCACACUGGAACUGAGACACGGCCCAGACUCCUACGGGAGGCAGCAGUGGGGAAUAUUGCACAAUGGGCGCAAGCCUGAUGCAGCCAUGCCGCGUGUAUGAAGAAGGCCCUAGGGUUGUAAAGUACUUUCAGUCGGGAGGCGUUACCGACAGAAGAAGCACCGGCUAACUCCGUGCCAGCCGCCGCGGUAAUUC